rnacentral:miRNA from 1 species
UUAGCGGUGGACCGCCCUGCG